GGGACAAUUAUAAGGAGGCAAAAACAAUGGAGGGGGCCGCAAAAUUAAGAUUCCUUGAACAACCUAGCUAAAUUAGUGAUUCUUUAAGAACUCAAUUGUACCAUUGCUCGCUUUAUCAUGAUAUCAUCGUUGAACAUUGUUGUAACAAUUCGGAAAUAUGACAAAAUUAAAAACAAUCGAUACAUUAGCUCUCUCACGGCCACACCCCUGUUGUUCUAUUAGCUACCUUUUGGUACGUGGAACGAGAUGAAACGGAGUGAGACGAGAUGUUCCGUCCCACAUUUGAUGCACCUAAAACGGAUGAAACACGUUGUUCCACAAGACAAGUUUUGGAUGAAUUUUCGUUCCACCUCAUCCCCUGGAACGACUCAUUCCACAUAUGUGGAACACAAAAUUAUAACCUCUCUGUCUCCUUCUUCUUCCUCCUUAUUUCCAUCCGAGGGCAUAUUUGCUUCCUCUCCGUUCCAUUUCGUCCCGUCCUGUCCCAUUCCGUUCCAUCCCUUCCCGUCUGCAUACCAAACAAUACCAAGUAAUUAAAUGCAAGCUAAAACACUGUUGAUGUAAUUAAUAUUGAGUCGUUGUUCUGUUUCUUUGAAAAUCUUGACAAUAAUCGUUAAUCAUCAACUUCAAAAUUGAUUAAACAAAGUUCACAAUCACAUUGGUUUCACAUGCUGUCAAUCAUUUUGGCCAAAAUGUGGACUCCAUCGAACGCAACAAGAAAUGAUAUUAACUCAAUUAGAUACUUAUGAUCCAAACAUAUCUUCCUUGAAAUCUGAAUAAAUUUCACAUAAUUCUCUAUUAGCUUCAACUGGAAGUUAGCUUAAUUAAUUUAGAAUACGGUAAAGGUGGCGUGCUUGCUGCCCAUGCUGCAACACAUCAGAGCACAGGAGUCGAAACCAUGUGGUAGUCUGCUGACAAGGAAUAUUGUACCCACGUGCAGUAGUGGGACAAGUUCUCUCAACACUCCCCCUCAAGUUUGGAAUGGAUGUUGAUUAUUCCUAACUUGCAAAGCAAAGUUGUAAACUGGUAUAAGCUCAGUGGCUUUGUGAAGAUGUCGGCUGGUUGUUUCAUGGUUGAGAUGUGAGAUGUCUCGAUCAUUCCACUUUGAACCCUUUCUCGUACAAGAUGGCAGUCAAUUUCUAUGUGUUUGGUUCUUUCGUGAAAGACCGGAUUCGAAGCGAUGUGAAGUGCCGCUUGAUUAUCACAAUAUAACUUGACUGGACGUUUAUGUUUGAUACCCAAGUCUUGUAGAACAGAUUUCAACCAAGUGACUUCACAACAAGUUGCCGCCAUUGAACGAUACUCCGCCUCUGCACUAGAACGUGACACGGUAUUUUGUUUCUUGCUUUUCCAGGAGAUCAAGGAUUCUCCAAGAAAUACACAGUAUCCGGUGGUAGAACGUCGUGUGUCUCGACAUCUGGCCCAAUCCGCAUCACAAAAGGCAUUCAAUUGAAUUGGACUUCUUGCAGAAAGGAAAAUACCUUGCCCUGGUGUGUGCUUAACGUAUCGUAAGACUCGCUGGGCUGCCUCCAAGUGUGGAGUUCGAGGCUUCUCCAUAAAUUGACUAAGAAUGUGGACAGCAUACACCAAAUCAGGGCGCGUGAUUGUCAGGUAGAUUAGUCUCCCAACAAGUCGUCGAUAAGAGGAAGGAUCAGUAACCCAUUGUCCUUCGUCCUUUCUGAGUGAUAAGUUUUGCUCCAUAGGAGAGGUGGCUGGUUUUUGCGCCAAGAUGACCUGCAUCCUCAAGUAUUUCAAGGGCAUAUUUUCGCUGUGAGAGGGUGAUCCCCUUGCUAGAGCGAGCAAUUUCAAUGCCCAAGAAAUAUUUUAAUUGGCCAAGGUCUUUCAACUUGAAUUGCUUCAUAAGAAAAGACUUGGUAUCUUCAAUUGCUUGUAUGUUAUUUCCUGCCAAGAUAAUAUCAUCAACAUAGACAAGGAGGGCAGUGAAUUUACCAUCAUGGUUUCGGACGAACAAUGAAUAAUCUGCCUUGGAUUGUUGAUAACCGGCCUUUCUAAGAGCACAAGAGAGUUUGAUAAACCAUUGACGAGAGGCUUGCUUAAGCCCAUACAAAGAUUUAUGAAGUUUACAAACUCGUGUCUCCCCCUUUCGUCCGAAACCAGGAGGCAAGGACAUGUAGACAUCUUCUUCAAGAUCACCAUGGAGGAAAGCAUUAUUAACAUCAAGCUGGUGGAGGUGCCAUUGUUGGACCGAGGCAACAGCAAGAAGUAGACGAACUGUAGUCAAUUUUGCAACCGGAGCAAAGGUCUCUCGAUAGUCUAAGCCUUCAAUUUGGCUAUAACCUUUGGCAACCAAGCGUGCUUUAUAUCUCUCAAUGGAUCCAUCGGAUCGAAAUUUGAUUUUGUAAACCCACUUACAUCCAACCGGCUUCUUGCCAGGGGGCAAUGGUUGCAGAGACCAUGUCCUAUUCGCAGCAAGGGCUGCCAGUUCUUCUUCCAUGGCUAAACGCCAGUGAGGGUCGCAUAUAGCCUGUGAGAAUGAGCUGGGUUCUAUGGCAGCUGAAAUGGAAGUGGUGAAAGCACGAUGUCGAGCAGAUAAACGAUCGUAUGUGAGGACAUCAGACAAAGGGUAAGGAGUACCUGGUACUUUGGUCAACGCCGAGUGAGAUGAAGGGACAGACCGAGAAGGGAGGUUGAUGUCGAUGUGAUAUUGUUGAAGAUAACCAGGUGCAUGAGUGGGUCGUUUAAGACGAGGUGGUGAUGUGGAAAGAAAAGGAGAUGAAACCGAAACAGGACUCACCGGCGAAGAAGAGGAUGGAUCGACGGAAUCCUGCUCCAGUAGAAUGGACGGAUGAAUGAUGGGAUCAUCACAGGCAGUAUCUUGAGUAUGUGGAAACACAAGUGGUGAAACUGCAGCAGAAGAUGAAAAAGGGAACACAUGUUCAUGGAAAAUAACAUCACGGGAGAUAAAGAUUUUACCCGUGUGAAGGUCGUAAACUCGAUAUCCCUUGGUGCCAUAUGGAUACCCAAGAAAAAGACACCGUGUGGCUCUUGCAUCAAAUUUUUGUGGGACGAUGGUGGUGGGUGGAAGAAAAAACAUAAGCAACCAAACACUCGCAAAUGUGCAUACGCUGGCUGUUUGUGGUGAAGUAUUUCAUAGGGUGAUUUGCCUUGAAGAAGAGGAGUGGGAGUCCUAUUUAUGAGAUAAGUGGCAGUGAGGAUUGCGUCACCCCAAAAUUUCUUAGGAAGAUGAGAUUGAAAAAGUAAGGCUCUAGCAACAUUGAGUAAGUGGCGGUGUUUGCGCUCUGCUACCCCGUUUUGUUGGGGAGUAGAGACACAACUUGUUUGAUGGAGAAUCCCCUUAUCUGAAAAAAAUUGGGUCAUUAAAAAUUCUGGACCGUUAUCACUACGAAGAACCUUGACUCGUGUGGAAAAUUGUGUUUCAACAAGGUGGAUGAAAGUGAUGAGAUAAGAUCGUGCAUCUGAUUUGUGAUUCAUUAAAUAAACCCAUGUGCAUCUUGAGAAAUCAUCCACAAUAGUUAAGAAAUAUUGUGCCCCUGUGAUAGUGGGAACAUGGUAACCUCCCCAAAUGUCAACAUGAAUUAACUCAAAAGGAGCCUUUGUGGUGAUAGAACUCAAAGGAAAAGGAGCACGUGUUUGUUUGGCUAAUGGACAGAUCAAACAAUCAUCAAUGCUACAAAAAUUCAAAUUUUUAAUGCAAGUAGAGAGAGAUGCCGUAAGGUCGUGUUGGAAAGAUGGCCAAGGCGUUGAUGCCAAAGCUGAGAAGAAGAAGAGGCAACAAUUGACGCUGAAUUGCACGUGGUUUUCAUCACAUUAUCAAGGUAGUAGAGUCCUUCUCGUUCAGUUCCCGUCCCAAUCAUCUUCCCCGAUCGUUGGCCCUGAAGUAGACACAUUUUAUCAGUGAAGAUGACAAAGCAAGAUGAGGUAUUAGUGAGUUUGCUGACAGAAAUUAAAUUCAGUUUAAAUGAUGGAACACAAAGCACGUUGUGAAGGAUGAGAUCAUUCGAGAGAUGAACUGUGCCAAUGUGUGUGACAUCGGCAAGUGCAUGAUUGGGUAAGUGCACUUGUCGAUUGUAUACCGGAACACUUGUGGUCAUUAAGCUUGGUGAGUAGACCAUGUGGUCUGUGGCGCCUGUAUCGAAAAUCCAGUUUCUUCCCUUAUUGAGAGCAGAAGCACAAAAAACUCUAUCUGACAAAUUAUUCAUAGUAGAGGUGGUACCGACAUGAUUAGAUGUGGAGUUGGAUUGGCUCUUAUCAAGGAGUGCAAGCAGGUUGUGAUAUUGCUCGGAAGUGAGAGCCAUGGUGUGUUUGCUGGAAGAGUCAGUUGCCAUGUCGGCAGGCAGUGGCUGUGCUUGGCAGUGCUCUGCGGCAGUGCUUAAUGGCAGUGCUCUGCGGCUGUGCUUAAUGGCUAGCAGGUAGAGCAACGACGAUGGCUAUGUAGUAGCUUGGCAAGGCAGAGAGUAUGUAGCUUGCAGUGAGUGUGCAGCGAGUGUGCAGCUUGCAGUGAGUGUGCAGCGACGAUGGCUGUGUAGUAGCUUGGCAAGGCAGCGAGUAUGCAGCUUGCAGUGAGUGUGCAGCGAGUGUGCAGCUUGCAGCAGGUUGUGGCUGUACACAGUAUAGCAGCGGAAGAGUGAAGGCAGAGUAGAGCAAAGGAUUAUCUGUGCUCUGAUACCAUAUUAAGUUUAAUAUUUGGUUGUGUAUCAAAUUAAUUAACUGCUGUAAUGGCAGUUUGUUUUAUAUACAUCUUACACACACGCAUGCAUUUAAACAAAUGCAUGCAAUAAACAAAUGUGGUAAAGGUGGCGUGCUUGCUGCCCAUGCUGCAACACAUCAGAGCACAGGAGUCGAAACCAUGUGGUAGUCUGCUGACAAGGAAUAUUGUACCCACGUGCAGUAGUGGGACAAGUUCUCUCAACAU
rnacentral:lncRNA from 1 species